rnacentral:rRNA from 1 species
CUAAACGACUCUCGGCAACGGAUAUCUCGGCUCUCGCAUCGAUGAAGAACGUAGCGAAAUGCGAUNACUUGGUGUGAAUGGCAGAANUCCCGUGAACCAUCGAGUCUUUGAACGCAAGUUGCGGCCGAAGCCAUUUGGUUGAGGCCACGUCUGCCUGGGCGUCACGCA